rnacentral:rRNA from 1 species
AAAUUUGAAAUCUGGCUCUUUUAGGGUCCGAGUUGUAAUUUGCAGAGGCGCUUUGGCGUUGGCAGCGGUCCAAGUUCCUUGGAACAGGACGUCACAGAGGGUGAGAAUCCCGUACGUGGUCGCUAACCUUUCGCCGUGUAAAGCCCUUUCGACGAGUCGAGUUGUUUGGGAAUGCAGCUCUAAAUGGGAGGUAAAUUUCUUCUAAAGCUAAAUACUGGCCAGAGACCGAUAGCGCACAAGUAGAGUGAUCGAAAGAUGAAAAGCACUUUGGAAAGAGAGUCAAAUAGCACGUGAAAUUGUUGAAAGGGAAGCGCUUGCAGCCAGACUUGCCUGUAGUUGCUCAUCCGGACUUUUGUCCGGUGCACUCUUCUAUAGGCAGGCCAGCAUCAGUUUGGGCGGUUGGAUAAAGGUCUCUGUCAUGUACCUCCUUUCGGGGAGGCCUUAUAGGGGAGACGACAUGCAACCAGCCUGGACUGAGGUCCGCGCAUUUAUGCUAGGAUGCUGGCGUAAUGGCUGUAAGCGGCCCGUCUUGAAACACGGACCAAGGAGUCUAACAUCUAUGCGAGUGUUUGGGUGUCAAGCCCGAACGCGUAAUGAAAGUGAACGGAGGUGGGAACCCUUUUGGGUGCACCAUCGACCGAUCCUGAUGUCUUCGGAUGGAUUUGAGUAAGAGCAUGGCUGUUGGGACCCGAAAGAUGGUGAACUAUGCUUGAAUAGGGUGAAGCCAGAGGAAACUCUGGUGGAGGCUCGCAGCGGUUCUGACGU